AUUGGAAAUGGAAAUCAAUUAAGUUGAGUUUUCAAUUCACCCUAAACCGUCGACACCAUGUGCGCCUUUUGUAUUUCCAUUAAUUGUCUCCGGCGGCCAUAUAUACAAUUCUAGAAUAUGGGGAUUGGUUAGGAUAGUGAUUGUUAUAAAAAAAAUUAAAUAUAAUAUAGUUUAUUAAAUAUUGAGUUUAACUAUUGAAUGUACUAUGGAUCAAUGAACUAUUAUGGGAUUAUCUAUCCAAUAUAUGUAAUAGAAAGGAGUAGUCCGUUGAAAAGUUCAAAAUGAACAUCUUUAAUCGUUGACACCUGGCGUGAUAACAAAUAAAUUUGUAAUUUUAAUGGGUUUUUCCUCUGUGUUUUAUUUUACUUCAAACAAGGGGCCCCAAAACCCAAAUCCUAAUCUGAUUCGCUUGCGAUUAUGGCGUCCGAGAGUGCUUCUCGAUUGACUUCCAUGGCUGAUUCGUACAUUGGGAGCUUGAUAAGCUUGACCUCUAAGAGUGAGAUCAAAUACAAAGGUAUUCUCUACCACAUCAACACUGAAGAGUCCAGUAUUGGCCUAAAAAAUAGUAUUCUUCUGCUACCCACUUCUUUUUUCUUAUGAAUUUCCUUUCAAGAUGUUAAUAAUAUGCGUCACUCGAGAAUGAGUUGCAUUUGCAGAGCCUCUCUGACCGCAUGGCGGAGCUAGAGAUCUUGGGGCUAUUCAUUUUUGUGCAGAUUCGGUUUUAUUGUUUGCAAAACAGAGGGAGCGGUGAGUCACUGAUGGCGAAGGCAGUGAUGAUGGGUGGGGUCCUGUUUGGAAAAAGCACUGUUGUUGGUGCUUAGCUCAGUUGGCUGAGUCUAAUUAUAGGCAGGUUUGCAGUACCCUAAUUGUAUUUUCUUAUGUAUAUAUUGAAAUUAAUUUCAUAGCAUCUAUUCAAUGCAAUGUUGUUGAUACUCUUAUUGUAUUAAUAUAUAUAUUGAAAUUAAUUUAUUCAAUAAACCUGUCUAUAUUUUCUUAUUUUUGUAGUACUAUUUUUGUCUAUCUCCACAUUCUGAGUUACUUUAUAUCAUCAUCUACUUCACCAAAUUGCCCAUAGUGAAAUAUUACCGUUCAAAAGCAGUGUUAGAGGAUUGCUGCUGACCUUGUUGCUGCUGGCAUUCAAACAAAGACUAAUGAUCAACUAAUAUAAUUAUGCUAAAACAAUAAUACUUUACUCACUUGGAAAUAAUCUUUUAUUAUCUCCUAAAAGAUUUGGAACUUUUGUAGGGUGGAUAUGAUAGCAAAAAAGAAGAGUUGUUGAGCAACAAACAAUUAUUUAUUGAGAACCUUGAUUAUGCAGUUGAUUUAUUUUUUAUAUGUGGUAACACUGUCAAUCUUCCCUGGAUUUUUGUGUGAAAAUACUCGAACACAUCAGUUAGGCACAUGGUGAGUGUUUAAUUUAUGCUUAGUCUUUAAUCCAAUUGCCUUUUAACAUAAUCAGUUUUGGAGCAAACAUUUUCCACUUAACAUGAUUAGAAUGUAGAUAUAACGUUCCCCAAAUGCAAAAUAAGCAUAUGCCUAAUACAUAGCUUGUGACCAUGGCUUUAAAAACUUUAAUUAGAAUAUUAGAUCCUUUGAUUUUUGUGUUUGUCCAUUUUGUCAUUUAGAUGGCUGAUGGAACUGAUAGGAAAAAAAGUUAAAGGAGUUUAUUUUAGAACUAGUGGUGAUCAUUGCAGGUACCCAGUUGUUUUAAUUGGUAUGUAUAGUGGAUUUCAUAGCAAGAUGUAUUCCCCUUGUGCCAUGGCUAAAGUUUCAAUCAAGUAAGGGUCUACUAAUAGCAUUGUUUUCUAGAUUCUUGUUGAUCCCAGCAUUCUACUUCACAACAAAAUAUGGUGACCAGGGAUGGAUGAUCCUGCUAACCUCCUUCUUGGGACUCACCAAUGGCUAUCUCACUAUUUUUGUUCUCACUGUGGCACGAAGAGGUUACAAGGCAAGUUCACCCAACCCACAAUUCACAAAUGAAAAACUAAUACAAAUACAUUUUAUGGAUUUAAUUUCUAUUUAAAAAGAGAAAUGAUAUUUGAGAAAUCAAUACUAAAUAUUUGCUCAUCUAAUCUAAUAUACUUUAAAAGAGCUUAAGCCUUUUGGAGAAGCUGAAGGAUAAAGCCCGUUGGAAGACCAAAAUUCUGCCAUAUAACCAUACCAUUGAGUAAGAUCUGCCCUCUGUCCUGUCCAUUUUCCCGUGUCUGUUAUUUGGAUUCAUAACAACAUAGGGAAAAGCUGGUAUUGAAUGGAGUCUAAUGCCCUUCUGUCCUUGCAUUGGAAAAAAGAAAACUGGUCAUAAUUUAUUGAUUUUAAACUAAAUAGGAGUUCAACUUCAAUACACCCAUAUGGACUUGGUGCUUGAUGUUAUGUAUGAAAGUUUGAGUAAAUUAUGAUUAAGUUAGCAAUUGUAUAUAACGUGUAAUGCUGGGGUUUGAGGUUGGAGACAUGAUGAUAGGUGUAAUUAAUUGGUGUUUGAGCUUGAAAUAGAAUUACUUCUCACAAACUAGCAUUUGACAUCGAUCUUGAUUGAACUAAAUUGUUUGAUCAUUUGGUUACAUACACUCAUCAUUAUUGUGUUGGUUUUGAUUGAGUGCUAGGUAGAUUCGAUGAGAAAAGAGUGGUUAUUGUAUUUUUUAUCAGCCAAAAGUGGUUAUUGUAUAUAUUUUUUGUUUUUGUCA